UUUGGAAGUUCCUUUUUUUAUUUUUUUUUUUUUUUUUUUUUUUGCACCCUCUCUUUUUUG
rnacentral:ribozyme from 1 species